rnacentral:Y_RNA from 1 species
GGCUAGUCCGAGUGCAGUGGUGUUUACAACUAAUUGAUCACAACCAGUUACAGAUUUCUUUGUUCCUUCUCCCCUCCCACUGCUUCACUUGACUAGCCUUUA